GGGUUGUGAGGUUAAGCGACUAAGCGUACACGGUGGAUGCCCUGGCAGUCAGAGGCGAUGAAGGGCGUGCUAAUCUGCGAUAAGCGCCGGUAAGGUGAUAUGAACCGUUAUAACCGGCGAUACCCGAAUGGGGAAACCCAGUGUGACUCGUCACACUAUCAUUAACUGAAUCCAUAGGUUAAUGAGGCGAACCGGGGGAACUGAAACAUCUAAGUACCCCGAGGAAAAGAAAUCAACCGAGAUUCCCCCAGUAGCGGCGAGCGAACGGGGAGGAGCCCAGAGCCUGAAUCAGCAUGUGUGUUAGUGGAAGCGUCUGGAAAGGCGCGCGAUACAGGGUGACAGCCCCGUACACAAAAGCGCAUGUGCUGUGAGCUCGAUGAGUAGGGCGGGACACGUGGUAUCCUGUCUGAAUAUGGGGGGACCAUCCUCCAAGGCUAAAUACUCCUGACUGACCGAUAGUGAACCAGUACCGUGAGGGAAAGGCGAAAAGAACCCCGGCGAGGGGAGUGAAAAAGAACCUGAAACCGUGUACGUACAAGCAGUGGGAGCACAGGUUUACCUGUGUGACUGCGUACCUUUUGUAUAAUGGGUCAGCGACUUAUAUUCUGUAGCAAGGUUAACCGUAUAGGGGAGCCGUAGGGAAACCGAGUCUUAACCGGGCGUUAAGUUGCAGGGUAUAGACCCGAAACCCGGUGAUCUAGCCAUGGGCAGGUUGAAGGUUGGGUAACACUAACUGGAGGACCGAACCGACUAAUGUUGAAAAAUUAGCGGAUGACCUGUGGCUGGGGGUGAAAGGCCAAUCAAACCGGGAGAUAGCUGGUUCUCCCCGAAAGCUAUUUAGGUAGCGCCUCGUGAAUUCAUCUCCGGGGGUAGAGCACUGUUUCGGCUAGGGGGCCAUCCCGGCUUACCAACCCGAUGCAAACUGCGAAUACCGGAGAAUGUUAUCACGGGAGACACACGGCGGGUGCUAACGUCCGUCGUGAAGAGGGAAACAACCCAGACCGCCAGCUAAGGUCCCAAAGUCAUGGUUAAGUGGGAAACGAUGUGGGAAGGCCCAGACAGCCAGGAUGUUGGCUUAGAAGCAGCCAUCAUUUAAAGAAAGCGUAAUAGCUCACUGGUCGAGUCGGCCUGCGCGGAAGAUGUAACGGGGCUAAACCAUGCACCGAAGCUGCGGCAGCGACGCUGAUGCGUUGUUGGGUAGGGGAGCGUUCUGUAAGCCUGCGAAGGUGGCCUGUGAGGGUUGCUGGAGGUAUCAGAAGUGCGAAUGCUGACAUAAGUAACGAUAAAGCGGGUGAAAAGCCCGCUCGCCGGAAGACCAAGGGUUCCUGUCCAACGUUAAUCGGGGCAGGGUGAGUCGACCCCUAAGGCGAGGCCGAAAGGCGUAGUCGAUGGGAAACGGGUUAAUAUUCCCGUACUUGGUGUUACUGCGAAGGGGGGACGGAGAAGGCUAUGUUGGCCGGGCGACGGUUGUCCCGGUUUAAGCGUGUAGGUGUGUGUUCCAGGUAAAUCCGGUUCACUUUAACACUGAGGCGUGACGACGAGGCACUACGGUGCUGAAGCAACAAAUGCCCUGCUUCCAGGAAAAGCCUCUAAGCAUCAGGUAACACGAAAUCGUACCCCAAACCGACACAGGUGGUCAGGUAGAGAAUACCAAGGCGCUUGAGAGAACUCGGGUGAAGGAACUAGGCAAAAUGGUGCCGUAACUUCGGGAGAAGGCACGCUGACACGUAGGUGAAGUGAUUUACUCA
rnacentral:rRNA from 1 species